CCUGUGACAUGGGGUCAGGUGUUAUGCAGUGCCGCAGACAGUGCCAUGUGAUGCCAGGCAGUGUUCAUAGUGGCAUAGAUUUGUGUGGUGCCAGAAUCAGUGUGAUGCCAGUCAUUGGUGCCAGGGACGGUAUAUGUAUAGAAUAACACCCAGGUGACCCUAGGACAAAGCUUUAUUUUUCUCCCUCACUCCCCUCAAUGUUACCAGCUUACCGUAGGCAUAACAUUGUAUUUUUCUGUUUCUGGCCCGUAAAUAUUGCAAAAAAGAGCAUCAGUAAUUACCGAAUUUAACAAUAAUUAUAAAUGCAUAUUGUUAUCUUUAUGGGGCGAUAGUUUGGGGUCAGUAAAGACAAUACGCCAAGUACUACUACAGCCUGGUAGCCCUAAACUACCACUUGAGCCAGCUAAACGUAAUAUAUGGAGGAGAAAAGAGAAUAAAUGAACCCGUGGACAUACCCACAACUCCUGUGAAAGCCUUGGCAAAUAUGUGUAGGCCUACUUGUGUGCCAACAUAUGGAAGAGCAUGGGCCUAACUUUUCUUCUUCCUCCUCAGGUUUUGGGCGCCCAGCCGUACACGUGAACUAACAGUCUUGGCUUCAGGGCAGGUCGCUAAAAUGGGGAGAAGACAGGAGGAGGAGGAGAGAAGGAGGAGGAGGAGGAGGAAGAGGAGGAGGAGUGCCUGAUCCAGCAAGGUGAUUCACUGUCCGUCCACCCUCAGGAAAGACCUUUGAGAUCCAGCUCCGGAAAACGUCGAAAGGAAGAACCAAAGGAAGGAAGGAAGACCAUCUCAGAAGACCCCAGAGUCAGCCCCUACAGUCCAUCAUAGUCCAAGAAAUAGCUGAAGGAAGUCCCAAGUCCAAGCAACCUUCCUUUCUUUCUGAUUCAAGUCGUCUUUACCUUCAGCGAGGGGGCAAGGCGACCAUGGACCUCUCCCUUCCCUUCCCUUCCUUCCUUCCUUUCCUUUCCCUUCCCUUUCCUUCCCCUUCCCUUCCUGUCCCUUCCCUUCCCUUCCUGUCCCUUCCCCUCCCUGUCAUCAGCCACACAGUGUCUGCCAUCCAUGUCUUGCAGCAGGCCAGCCAUUCUGACUUGCUCUUCCUUCCAAGCAAGCAGUCACUCUCCUCAGCACAUGACCCAGAAGCUUCACUUGUCCUAUGCUUUUCAUCAAGUGCCUGGCUGUCUGCUGCUGCUCUUUGUCAUAGAGUUAAGUUGUCAUUAUCUUAGUUAGUUAGUUAGUUAGAGGUCCAGAUAAUUGUUGUAUGGGCAAGACUCCUGUCCCUCCCUCUCCUUCCCUCCCUUCCUCUCCACCUGUCCCCCAAGUUCCCAGUCUGUGGAGGUCCAAAUAAUUGUUGUAUGGGCAAGACUCCUGUCCCUCCCUCUCCUUCCCUCCCUUCCUCUCCCUCUCCCCCAAGUUCCCAGUCUGCAGAGGUCCAGAUAAUUGUUGUAUGGGCAAGACUCCUGUCCCUCCCUCUCCUUCCCUCCCUUCCUCUCCACCUGUACCCCAAGUUCCCAGUCUGCAGAGGUCCAGAUAAUUGUUGUAAGGGCAAGACUCCUGUCCCUCCCUCUCCUUCCCUCCCUUCCUCUCCACCUGUUCCCCAAGUUCCCAGUCUGCAGAGGUCCAGAUAAUUGUUGUAUGGGCAAGACUCCUGUCCCUCCCUCUCCUUCCCUCCCUUCCUCUCCACCUGUCCCCCAAGUUCCCAGUCUGCAGAGGUCCAGAUAAAUGUUGUAAGGGCAAGACUCCUGUCCCUCCC